rnacentral:rRNA from 1 species
AAGGAAGCACACUGAGGUCAUAGACUAAGCCAUGCAAGUGAUAGUUCAGGCAACGAAACUGCGAACAGCUCAUUAAUACGCUCAGAAUCUAAUUGGCCUAAACCAGCUGCUGGUGAAAAGGAUAACAGCAGUAAUUCUGGUGCUAAUACAUGCAAGCCAGUACUUUUCAUCGGAAAUGAAGUACGAUGGAACAGCUGACCGCAAGGCAUGCCAUUUGGCUGAGCGACCUAUCAGCUUGUACUUAGGGUCUUUACCUAGGUAGGCUAUAACGGGUAACGGGCGGUUACCGUCGGACUGCCGGAGAAGGCGCCUGAGAGAUAGCGACUAUAUCUACGGGUAGCAGCAGGCGCGAAACUUACCCAAUCGAGACAAUCGGAGGUGGUAAUGACCAGUUUCAAGUCAGCUCCAUACGGGGUUGCUUGAAUAGGACUACACAUUUCUAGUGUAGUGAAACCUAGCAGAGGGCCAGUCUGGUGCCAGCAGCUGCGGUAAUUCCAGCUCUGCAAGUUUGCUCCCAUAUUGUUGCAGUUAAAACGCCCGUAGUCAGAUCUACAAUGUGCUUGUGGGCUUCGACCCACGUUCACUGCGAACAAAUCAGGACGCUUCGUGUAUGGUUACAUGAAUGCGCAAGCGCAGUAUGAUAUCUUUACCACAGGUAAGAUCAAAGAGAGCUAUUCGGGGGUAGAUCUAUUUCAUGGCGAGCGGUGGAAUGCGAUAACCCAUGAGAGAGAAACUAAGGCGAAAGCAUCUACCCAGGGAGUCUCUGUCGAUCAAGGGCGAGAGUAGGAGUAUCGAACCGGAUUAGAGACCCGGGUAGUUCCUACUAUAAACGAUGCCGACCUACUCAUAUGAAACAAUUCUCGUAUGAGUAAGAUUGAGAAAUCAUAGUUCUUGGGCUCUGGGGGAACUACGACCGCAAGGCUGAAACUUGAAGGAAUUGACGGAAGGGCACACCAGGGGUGGAGCUUGUGGCUUAAUUUGAAUCAACACGGGAAAACUUACCAGGACCAUAUGUCUUAUAUGACUGACAGGCUUUCGGUCUUUCAGGAUUAGACUUUGGGUGGUGCAUGGCCGUUGGUAGUGCGUGGGUUGACCUGUCUAGCGUCGAUUCAGAUAACGAGCGAGACUACCUCCAAUUGGUUUGUCUGUGUCAAAGCAGACACACGCCAGUCAUUGGGACAACCUGCGUCUAAGCAGGAGGAAGAGGGUAGCAAUAACAGGUCCGUGAUGUCCUUUAGAUGCCCUGGGCUGCACGCGCGCUACAAUGUGAGAAUCAAAGAGUUACGAGCCUUGAAAAGGUAAGUUACUCUGCUAAUACCUCACGUACCUGGGAUUGACAGUUGCAAUCACUGUCAUGAACUAGGAAUCCCUUGUAAGCAUGUGUCAACAACGCAUGUUGAAUACGUCCCUGCCCUUUGUACACACCGCCCGUCGCUCCUACCGAUGGAUGAUUUGGUGAAAUCACAGGAGGCUCGUCUGAAAGUGAUUAAAUCAUAUUAUCUAGAGGAAGGAGAAGUCGUAACAAGGUAACGGUAGGUGAACCUGCAGAAGGAUCAAAGGGCGAAUUCCACAUUGGGCUGCAGCCCGGGG